rnacentral:rRNA from 1 species
AUGGUGUGGUAUGUGUUGAACAAUUGUGAUCAAGCUAAGAAAUAUAUCGAUAUGUUCAGAGAUGAGUUAAAGAGGAAAUGGUUUCCGGACAGUGAUAAAGAGCUUCAACAAAAAUUUCAGACAUGGUUCAGGAACUAUAUGAUGAGGCUGCGAGAUGAGGAUGGUGAAGAGGUAGAUGAAGAUCUCUUUGCCUUGGCAUGUGGUCCUGAUCGGAGAGUCCGGAAAUUCUCAUCGUGCAUAGUGAAUGGGAUUAGAUUUAGCACCGUUGCUUGUGAUAGCAACAAGAGGACGCAGAACAGUGGAGUCAUGACCGAAGGAGAACAUAACCAUAAGGUCAUAGAUUUUUAUGGAACCUUGAAAGAGAUCAUUUAG